UGGGGAAUAUUGCACAAUGGGCGCAAGCCUGAUGCAGCCAUGCCGCGUGUAUGAAGAAGGCCUUCGGGUUGUAAAGUACUUUCAGUCGGGAGGAAGGUGGUAAGGUUAAUAACCUUAUCAAUUGACGUUACCGACAGAAGAAGCACCGGCUAACUCCGUGCCAGCAGCCGCGGUAAUAAGGAGGGUGCAAGCGUUAAUCGGAAUUACUGGGCGUAAAGCGCACGCAGGCGGUUGAUUGAGUCAGAUGUGAAAUCCCCGGGCUCAACCUAGGAACUGCAUCUGAUACUGGCGAGCUUGAGUCUCGUAGAGUGGGGUAGAAUUCCUGGUGUAGCGCUGAAAUGCGUAGAGAUCUCUGGGAAUACCGGUGGCGAAGGCGGCCCCCUCGGCGAAGACUGUCACUCAGGUGCGAAAGCGUGGGGAGCAAACAGG
rnacentral:rRNA from 1 species